rnacentral:rRNA from 1 species
GACGAACGCUGGCGGCGUGCUUAACACAUGCAAGUCGAGCGGAAAGGCCCUUCGGGGUACUCGAGUGGCGAACGGGUGAGUAACACGUGGGUGAUCUGCCCUGCACUUUGGGAUAAGCCUGGGAAACUGGGUCUAAUACCGAAUAUGAUCAUGCUCUUCAUGGGGUGUGGUGGAAAGCUUUUGCGGUGUGGGAUGGGCCCGCGGCCUAUCAGCUUGUUGGUGGGGUAAUGGCCUACCAAGGCGACGACGGGUAGCCGGCCUGAGAGGGUGACCGGCCACGCUGGGACUGAGUUACGGCCCAGACUCCUACGGGAGGCAGCAGUAGGGAAUAUUGCACAAUGGGCGCAAGCCUGAUGCAGCGACGCCGCGUGAGGGAUGACGGCCUUCGGGUUGUAAACCUCUUUCAGCACAGACGAAGCGCGAGUGACGGUAUGUGCAGAAGAAGGACCAGCCAACUACGUGCCAGCAGCCGCAGUAA